AGUGAACGCUGGCGGUAGGCUUAACACAUGCAAGUCGAACGGCAGCACAGUAAGAGCUUGCUCUUACGGGUGGCGCGUGGCGGACGGGUGAGGAAUACAUCGGAAUCUACUUUUUCGUGGGGGAUAACGUAGGGAAACUUACGCUAAUACCGCAUACGACCUACGGGUGAAAGCAGGGGAUCUUCGGACCUUGCGCGAUUGAAUGAGCCGAUGUCGGAUUAGCUAGUUGGCGGGGUAAAGGCCCACCAAGGCGACGAUCCGUAGCUGGUCUGAGAGGAUGAUCAGCCACACUGGAACUGAGACACGGUCCAGACUCCUACGGGAGGCAGCAGUGGGGAAUAUUGGACAAUGGGCGCAAGCCUGAUCCAGCCAUACCGCGUGGGUGAAGAAGGCCUUCGGGUUGUAAAGCCCUUUUGUUGGGAAAGAAAAGCAGCAGGUUAAUACCCCGCUGUUCUGACGGUACCCAAAGAAUAAGCACCGGCUAACUUCGUG
rnacentral:rRNA from 1 species